ACUCAAAGGAAUUGACGGGGGCCCGCACAAGCGGCGGAGCAUGUGGCUUAAUUCGACGCAACGCGAAGAACCUUACCAGGGCUUGACAUGCGGGGUGAAGCCGUAGAAAUACGGUCCUCUUUCGGGAGCCCGCACAGGUGCUGCAUGGCUGUCGUCAGCUCGUGCCGUGAGGUGUUGCCUUAAGUGGCGCAACGAGCGCAACCCCUAUCCCAUGUUGCCAGCGAGUUAUGUCGGGGACUCAUGGGGGACUGCCGGUGCCAAACCGGAGGAAGGUGGGGAUGAGGUCAAGUCAUCAUGGCCCUUAUGUCCUGGGCUGCACACAUGCUACAAUGCUUGCUACAAAGGGAAGCAAUUCCGCAAGGAGGAGCGAAUCCCAAAAAGGCAAGCUCAGUUCGGAUCGGGGUCUGCAACUCGACCCCGUGAAGUCGGAGUCGCUAGUAAUCGCAGAUCAGCAACGCUGCGGUGAAUACGUUCCCGGGCCUUGCACACACCGCCCGU
rnacentral:rRNA from 1 species